rnacentral:rRNA from 1 species
AUUAGAUAAAAAACCAAUGCCCUUCGGGGCUUUCUGGUGAUUCAUAAUAACUAAACGAAUCGCAUGGCCUUGAGCCGGCGAUGGUUCAUUCAAAUUUCUGCCCUAUCAACUUUCGAUUGUAGGAUAGAGGCCUACAAUGGUUUCAACGGGUAACGGAGAAUUAGGGUUCGGUUCCGGAGAGGGAGCCUGAGAAACGGCUACCACAUCCAAGGAAGGCAGCAGGCGCGCAAAUUACCCAAUCCCGACACGGGGAGGUAGUGACAAUAAAUACUGAUACAGGGCUCUUUUGGGUCUUGUAAUUGGAAUGAGUACAAUUUAAAUCCCUUAACGAGGAACAAUUGGAGGGCAAGUCUGGUGCCAGCAGCCGCGGUAAUUCCAGCUCCAAUAGCGUAUAUUAAAGUUGUUGCAGUUAAAAAGCUCGUAGUUGAACCUUGGGUUUGGCUGGCCGGUCCGCCUCACCGCGUGCACUGGUCCGGCCGGACCUUUCCUCUUGGGGAUCCGCAUGCCCUUUACUGGG